AGGCCAGUAGCUCUAAUUGGUUAGAGCACUAGACUCCAAAUCUAGGGGUUGGGGGUUCGAAUCCCUCCUGGCCUG
rfam:Nitrospina gracilis 3/211 genomic scaffold, 2190_scaffold1